GGGUUGUGAGGUUAAGCGACUAAGCGUACACGGUGGAUGCCCUGGCAGUCAGAGGCGAUGAAGGACGUGCUAAUCUGCGAAAAGCGCCGGCGAGGUGAUAUGAACCCUUGACCCGGCGAUGUCCGAAUGGGGAAACCCAGUGUGUUCCGACACACUAUCGUUAACUGAAUACAUAGGUUAACGAGGCGAACCGGGGGAACUGAAACAUCUAAGUACCCCGAGGAAAAGAAAUCAACCGAGAUUCCCCCAGUAGCGGCGAGCGAACGGGGAGCAGCCCGGAGUCUGAAUCAGCUUGUGUGUUAGUGGAACGGUCUGGAAAGUCCGACGGUACAGGGUGAUAGUCCCGUACACGAAAAUGCACUUGCUGUGAACUCGAAGAGUAGGGCGGGACACGUGGUAUCCUGUCUGAAUAUGGGGGGACCAUCCUCCAAGGCUAAAUACUCCUGACUGACCGAUAGUGAACCAGUACCGUGAGGGAAAGGCGAAAAGAACCCCGGCGAGGGGAGUGAAAAAGAACCUGAAACCGUGUACGUACAAGCAGUGGGAGCACCUUCGGGUGUGACUGCGUACCUUUUGUAUAAUGGGUCAGCGACUUAUAUUCUGUAGCAAGGUUAACCGUAUAGGGGAGCCGAAGGGAAACCGAGUCUUAACUGGGCGUUAAGUUGCAGGGUAUAGACCCGAAACCCGGUGAUCUAGCCAUGGGCAGGUUGAAGGUUGGGUAACACUAACUGGAGGACCGAACCGACUAAUGUUGAAAAAUUAGCGGAUGACCUGUGGCUGGGGGUGAAAGGCCAAUCAAACCGGGAGAUAGCUGGUUCUCCCCGAAAGCUAUUUAGGUAGCGCCUCGUGAACUCAUCUUCGGGGGUAGAGCACUGUUUCGGCUAGGGGGCCAUCCCGGCUUACCAACCCGAUGCAAACUACGAAUACCGAAGAAUGUUAUCACGGGAGACACACGGCGGGUGCUAACGUCCGUCGUGAAGAGGGAAACAACCCAGACCGCCAGCUAAGGUCCCAAAGUCAUGGUUAAGUGGGAAACGAUGUGGGAAGGCACAGACAGCCAGGAUGUUGGCUUAGAAGCAGCCAUCAUUUAAAGAAAGCGUAAUAGCUCACUGGUCGAGUCGGCCUGCGCGGAAGAUGUAACGGGGCUAAACCAUGCACCGAAGCUGCGGCAGCGACACUAUGUGUUGUUGGGUAGGGGAGCGUUCUGUAAGCCGUUGAAGGUGUGCUGUGAGGCAUGCUGGAGGUAUCAGAAGUGCGAAUGCUGACAUAAGUAACGAUAAAGCGGGUGAAAAGCCCGCUCGCCGGAAGACCAAGGGUUCCUGUCCAACGUUAAUCGGGGCAGGGUGAGUCGACCCCUAAGGCGAGGCCGAAAGGCGUAGUCGAUGGGAAACAGGUUAAUAUUCCUGUACUUGGUGUUACUGCGAAGGGGGGACGGAGAAGGCUAUGUCAGCCGGGCGACGGUUGUCCCGGUUUAAGCAUGUAGGCGGAGGUUCCAGGUAAAUCCGGUACCUUUUAACGCUGAGGUGUGAUGACGAGGCACUACGGUGCUGAAGUGAUAAAUGCCCUGCUUCCAGGAAAAGCCUCUAAGCAUCAGGUAACACGAAAUCGUACCCCAAACCGACACAGGUGGUCAGGUAGAGAAUACCAAGGCGCUUGAGAGAACUCGGGUGAAGGAACUAGGCAAAAUGGUGCCGUAACUUCGGGAGAAGGCACGCUGAUAUGUAGGUGAAGUCCCUGCGGACGGAGCUGAAAUCAGUCGAAGAUACCAGCUGGCUGCAACUGUUUAUUAAAAACACAGCACUGUGCAAACACGAAAGUGGACGUAUACGGUGUGACGCCUGCCCGGUGCCGGAAGGUUAAUUGAUGGGGUUAGCGGCAACGCGAAGCUCUUGAUCGAAGCCCCGGUAAACGGCGGCCGUAACUAUAACGGUCCUAAGGUAGCGAAAUUCCUUGUCGGGUAAGUUCCGACCUGCACGAAUGGCGUAAUGAUGGCCAGGCUGUCUCCACCCGAGACUCAGUGAAAUUGAACUCGCUGUGAAGAUGCAGUGUACCCGCGGCAAGACGGAAAGACCCCGUGAACCUUUACUAUAGCUUGACACUGAACACUGGUCCUUGAUGUGUAGGAUAGGUGGGAGGCUUUGAAGCGUGGACGCCAGUCUGCGUGGAGCCAUCCUUGAAAUACCACCCUUUAAUGGCUGGUGUUCUAACGUAGACCCGUAAUCCGGGUUGCGGACAGUGUCUGGUGGGUAGUUUGACUGGGGCGGUCUCCUCCCAAAGAGUAACGGAGGAGCACGAAGGUUGGCUAAUCCUGGUCGGACAUCAGGAGGUUAGUGCAAUGGCAUAAGCCAGCUUGACUGCGAGCGUGACGGCGCGAGCAGGUGCGAAAGCAGGUCAUAGUGAUCCGGUGGUUCUGAAUGGAAGGGCCAUCGCUCAACGGAUAAAAGGUACUCCGGGGAUAACAGGCUGAUACCGCCCAAGAGUUCAUAUCGACGGCGGUGUUUGGCACCUCGAUGUCGGCUCAUCACAUCCUGGGGCUGAAGUAGGUCCCAAGGGUAUGGCUGUUCGCCAUUUAAAGUGGUACGCGAGCUGGGUUUAGAACGUCGUGAGACAGUUCGGUCCCUAUCUGCCGUGGGCGCUGGAGAAUUGAGGGGGGCUGCUCCUAGUACGAGAGGACCGGAGUGGACGCAUCACUGGUGUUCGGGUUGUCAUGCCAAUGGCACUGCCCGGUAGCUAAAUGCGGAAGAGAUAAGUGCUGAAAGCAUCUAAGCACGAAACUUGCCCCGAGAUGAGUUCUCCCUGAGACUUUAAGUCUCCUGAAGGAACGUUGAAGACGACGACGUUGAUAGGUCGGGUGUGUAAGCGCAGCGAUGCGUUGAGCUAACCGAUACUAAUGAACCGUGAGGCUUAACCUUACAACGCCGAAGGUGUUU
rnacentral:rRNA from 1 species